AGUGAACGCUGGCGGCGUGCUUAAGACAUGCAAGUCGAACGGCAGUCUUCGGACUGUAGUGGCGCACGGGUGAGUAACGCGUAACUGACCUACCCCAAAGUCACGGAUAACGAUUCGAAAGAACCGCUAAUACGUGAUGUGCCGUCAGAUUGUGUUCUGCCAGUAAAGAUUGAUUGCUUUGGGAUGAGGUUGCGUUCCAUCAGCUAGUUGGUGGGGUAAAGGCCCACCAAGGCGACGACGGAUAGCCGGCCUGAGAGGGUGGCCGGCCACAGGGGCACUGAGACACGGGUCCACUCCUACGGGAGGCAGCAGUUAGGAAUCUUCCACAAUGGGCGAAAGCCUGAUGGAGCGACGCCGCGUGAGGGAUGAAGGUCUUCGGAUCGUAAACCUCUGAAUCAGGGACGAAAGACACUUCGGUGGGAUGACGGUACCUGAGUAAUAGCACCGGCUAACUCCGUGCCAGCAGCCGCAGUAAGAC
rnacentral:rRNA from 1 species